GGCGGACAGACUCCCACAUACCUUCCUCCACUAGCAAGUUAUCUCCUUCCUUCCAGAAGAAUGUUUGAGACCAUGCUUUUGGUGUUAUAUCUAAGAAGUCAUCACCAGGGCAUCAGACAGAUUUGGGUUAGGAUCUGAAUAUCCACUCAUUUGCUAUGCUUUGUGACCCCAGUGCUGUUGGGAGAACUGAAGAUAAAAAACCUUUUACGAAAUGUACCCAAAUAUUUGGUAGAACUGAAGAUAAAUUUCACGUGCUUUCCAGCUUGGUCCAGAAUGG